GGGGGCGUAGCUCAGUUGGUUAGAGUGCCGGCCUGUCACGCCGGAGGUCGCGGGUUCAAGCCCCGUCGCUCCCGCCA
rnacentral:tRNA from 1 species